GGUGCGAGCGUUAAUCAGAAUUACUGGUGCGUAAAGCGCGCGUAGGGGGUCUGAUAAGCCGGUUUCUGAAAGCCCCGGGCUCAACCUGGGAACGGCAUCCGGAACUGUCAGGCUAGAGUGCAGGAGAGGAAGGUUCAAUUCCCGGUGUAGCGGUGAAAUGCGUAGAGAUCGGGAGGAAUACCAGUGGCGAAGGCGGCCUUCUGGACUGACACUGACGCUGAGGUGCGAAAGCGUGGGUAGCAAACAGGAUUAGAUACCCUGGUAGUCCACGCCGUAAACGAUGUCGACUAGCCGUUGGGCUCCUUGAGAGCUUUGUGGCGCAGUUAACGCGAUAAGUCGACCGCCUGGGGAGUACGGCCGCAAGUUAAAACUCAAAUGAAUUGACGGGGGCCCGCACAAGCGGUGGAGCAUGUGGUUUAAUUCGAUGCGACGCGAAGAACCUUACCUACCCUUGACAUCGUGCGAAUUUCCAGAGAUGGAUUGGUGCUUCGGGAACGCACAGACAGGUGCUGCAUGGCUGUCGUCAGCUCGUGUUGUGAAAUGUUGGGUUAAGUCCCGUAACGAGCGCAACCCUUGUCCUUANUUGCCAGCGAUNUAUUAGAACUCUAGGGAGACUGCCGGUAAA
rnacentral:rRNA from 1 species